CCUACGGGAGGCAGCAGUGAGGAAUAUUGGUCAAUGGGCGGAAGCCUGAACCAGCCAAGUAGCGUGCAGGAUGACGGCCCUACGGGUUGUAAACUGCUUUUAUACGGGAAUAACGCGCCUUACGUGUAGGGCUUUGCAUGUACCGUAUGAAUAAGGACCGGCUAAUUCCGUGCCAGCAGCCGCGGUAAUACGGAAGGUCCGGGCAUUAUCCGGAUUUAUUGGGUUUAAAGGGAGCGUAGGCCGCAUGUCAAGCGUGCUGUGAAAUGUCCGGGCUCAACCCGGGCCUUGCAGCGCGAACUGGCGUGGUGGAGUCCGCGGAAAGCAGGCGGAAUUCGUCGUGUAGCGGUGAAAUGCUUAGAUAUGACGAAGAACCCCGAUUGCGAAGGCAGCUUGCUGCAGCGGAACUGACGCUGAUGCUCGAAAGCGCGGGUAUCGAACAGGAUUAGAUACCCCUGUAGUC
rnacentral:rRNA from 1 species